rnacentral:rRNA from 1 species
AUCAUUAGUGAUUAAACUGUUGCCCUCUGUGCUGGCUCUGCAAGUGCACGUCGGUGACUUUCAUUCCAAUACCCUUGUGAACCUUUGGCCUCUUGCUAGCUUCGGCUGGCAGAGGAUUCUACAUACAAACUCGCAUGUAAUGAAACUCUUGUUGUGCACAAGCACUACUAUAUACAACUUUCAACAACGGAUCUCUUGGCUCUCGCAUCGAUGAAGAACGCAGCGAAAUGCGAUAAGUAAUGUGAAUUGCAGAAUUCAGUGAAUCAUCGAAUCUUUGAACGCACCUUGCACCCUUUGGCAUUCUGAAGGGUAUGCUCGUUUGAGUGUCAUUGUACUCUCACACUUCCGAUCUUGCAUUGGGAGCGGUGGACUUGGGUUUGCUGCCUUACCGUAGCUUACCUCAAAUGUGUUAGUGCAACUCUUGGUUGGACAUAGUACGGCGUGAUAAGUAUCUUCGCCGGUGCCUCGCAAUUGCGAGGGUGGCCGAUCGGGAUGUUGUGCUCCAAACCGUCUUCGGACAAUCUCUGACAACUUGACCUCAAAUCGAGUAAGACUACCCGCUGAACUUAAGCAUAUCAAUA